rnacentral:rRNA from 1 species
ACGGAAGGCAGCAGUGGGGAAUAUUGCACAAUGGGGGAAACCCUGAUGCAGCGACGCCGCGUGAGUGAAGAAGUAUUUCGGUACGUAAAGCUCUAUCAGCAAGGAAGAAAAUGACGGUACUUGACUAAGAAGCCCCGGCUAACUACGUGCCAGCAGCCGCGGUAAUACGUAGGGGGCAAGCGUUAUCCGGAUUUACUGGGUGUAAAGGGAGCGUAGACGGUAAUGCAAGUCAGAAGUGAAAGCCCAAGGCUCAACCAUGGGACUGCUUUUGAAACUGUAAUACUAGAGUGCAGGAGAGGUAAGUGGAAUUCCUAGUGUAGCGGUGAAAUGCGUAGAUAUUAGGAGGAACACCAGUGGCGAAGGCGGCUUACUGGACUGUAACUGACGUUGAGGCUCGAAAGCGUGGGGAGCAAACAGGAUUAGAUACCCUGGUA